GUCAACUCUUGACAGCGGGAAAAAUGACAGUAAAAGAAUAAAACAGAUCUUAGAUGUAAAGAAAAUAGGAAUUCAGAAAACUUACAACUAAAGUGAAUUGAAUUAGCUAAUCCUAAAUGUUAUCACUAUUCUAGUCAAUAACAUGCAAAGUCCAAUUGUGAGGUUAAAUUGAUAUAACUGUUGCGUCGGGAAGAACAAUGUGGAUUGUAAUUGCGUAAAAGCACCGAAAGUUUUAAAGCUGCGCUAAACCACAAAUUUUCCCGUGCGUUUACAUGCUGCUGACGACCCGGUGUCCAGUCGUAUACCAAGAGUUCCCCGCCAACACCGCCAGAAGGGCUACUUUUCAUUCUAGGGGCGGACACUCAUAUUUUGAAUUUAUUUGCAACAUAAAUGUUGUGUCCUCGGCUUUUUUAACAACCAACGUAUGCUCUACAACCAGUAAUGAAGAUGUGUUGGAACAACUUCAACAAUAACAUAAUAAACAAGAAAAUAUUCUAAUAAGGCCCGAAAAAAAUAUUAUGUUAACAUCGCUUU